UAGUCUUAGCCGUAAACGAUGGACACUAGAUGUCGGAAGACUUGUUCUUUCGGUGUCGUAGCUAACGCGUUAAGUGUCCCACCUGGGGAGUACGCCCGCAAGGGUGAAACUCAAAGGAAUUGACGGGGGCCCGCACAAGCGGUGGAGCAUGUGCUUUAAUUCGAUGCAACGCGAAGAACCUUACCUGGACUUGACAUGAGAGUGAAAGCCUUUAGAGAUAGAGGACCUUCCUUCGGGAACACUCUACACAGGUGCUGCAUGGUUGUCGUCAGCUCGUGUCGUGAGAUGUUGGGUUAAGUCCCGCAACGAGCGCAACCCUCGUCCUUAGUUGCCAUCAGGUAAUGCUGGGAACUCUAAGGAGACUGCCUGGUAUAACCAGGAGGAAGGUGGGGAUGACGUCAAAUCCUCAUGGCCCUUACGUCCAGGGCUAGACACGUGCUACAAUGGCCGGUACAGUAGGAUGCGAGACGGUGACGUUUAGCUAAUCCAUUAAAACCGGUCUCAGUUCGGAUCGG
rnacentral:rRNA from 1 species